rnacentral:rRNA from 1 species
GACGAACGCUGGCGGCGUGCCUAAUACAUGCAAGUAGAACGCUGAAGGAGGAGCUUGCUUCUCUGGAUGAGUUGCGAACGGGUGAGUAACGCGUAGGUAACCUGCCUGGUAGCGGGGGAUAACUAUUGGAAACGAUAGCUAAUACCGCAUAAUAGCAGUUAUUGCAUGAUAAUUGUUUGAAAGGUGCAAUUGCACCACUACCAGAUGGACCUGCGUUGUAUUAGCUAGUUGGUGGGGUAACGGCUCACCAAGGCGACGAUACAUAGCCGACCUGAGAGGGUGAACGGGCACACUGGGACUGAGACACGGCCCAGACUCCUACGGGAGGCAGCAGGAGGGAAUCUUCGGCAAUAGAGGGAAGGCUGACCGAGCAACGCCGGGUGGGGGAAGGAGGUUUUCGGAUCGGAAAGCUCUGUUGUAAGGGAAGAACGAGUGUGAGAGUGGAAAGUUCACACUGUGACGGUAUCUUACCAGAAAGGGACGGCUAACUACGUG